CUUAUGUCCGAUGCAUAUCAGGUGUUAAUAAUAAGUCUCUUCAAAUGAUACGAACUCUUUUUGGAAGAAAACCAACUUGUAUCGAAGCAGUAUCUGUAAAAUCCAAUUCGGCAAUUCGACGCCAUACAAUUCCUUUGUGAAACACGACGACUCGUUUUCUCUCUCUAAGCUUCCUUCUUCCCUCACUUGUUUUUGUUUUUAUUUUUUAUGAUCACAAUUCAACUGAAAAUUUCUUGAUUAUUACACGCCAUUGUCAAUUUUGGUACGUAUCGGAAGAAUUGAAUUCCUUGACUCGCACAGAAUCAUAUGCUGCCACCACAUGUUGUCGCCACGUCGUUGUCGUGAUUCUCUUGAUCAGCGAAGCAAUUUUGAUGUCUGAUAUAGAUCGGGCGGAGGCUGAUGAGGGCGGAGGAAUCAACGGCGGCAAUGAAGAGGAUAGAGAGUGGAAGUGCAAGAGGUGUGGGAGUAAGGGGAAAAGGCCGCCCUUCUUUCGGUUGAGGAAGAGCAAGAAACUGCUUCAGCAGAAGCAGAGUGGCGUUUAUGUGAAUUCACGGAGUUGGGGAAGAAGCGGUGGGUGGUGUUGCUUGUGCCUGCGGCAGCCCAAGACUCUCGAUUCUUCCGUCAGGUGCACAUGAUUCAGACGUGAUAGAAGACUACAACCAGGUUUGGAACUUUUUGGUAUAUCAGCUUAGUUUUCCUUUUAUGUUGUAGUGAUUUAUGGUUUUUCAAUGGCAUGAUGGUGGAUAGGUAGCUUCAAAAUGAGAGUCGGACUUGGUCUUGAUUCCCUGUCAAUUUUCUUCUACAUCUAAAUGUUUGCAGUACUUGAUGUAAUUGUAAUAAUUGAUAAACAGUGAUGCUGUUGAAACUAUCAGAUGAGUGCAACAGGUGUAUGUCAUAUAGUUAAGAAGGUGAAGUGGGGCUGUAAUAAGAAGAAUGAUUAGUAACAGAAUUUUUGUUUUA